GUGGAUGUAGUUCAGUCGGUUAGAACGUCGGAUUGUGGUUCCGAAGGUCGUGGGUUCGAAUCCCAUCUUCCACC
rnacentral:tRNA from 1 species